UUCAGGAAAAUUGCAAAAGCUUGAAGAAAUAAAAGAAUAAAGCAAAAAGGAGAAAAAGAUGGGAAGAAAAGGAUCAUAGGGGAAUAUUCUCAAGGAAGCAUCUAGAUGGGACACCUACACCCCCACUCUACCCUAAUUUCCCCCUAUAAAUACAAAUCUCCCCAUCAUGUUUCAACCUACCUAGGAUUUUCUAUUUUUAGUAGUCUCUCUUCUGUGUAGUAGAUCUAGUAGUGGCACUCUAAAUUUGUAAUCACUUUUAUAUCAAUACAAGUAUUCAUCUUUGUUAUUCAUUUUUGUUCUUAAAUCUUGCUCUUUACUUUUACUCCUAGGCUAUGAAAUCUAUCUCUAACCACAUGAGACUCAAAAUUACUUGUGGAGGAGAAAAAGAUGGGAAGAAAAGGAUCAUAGGGGAAUAUUCUCAAGGAAGCAUCUAGAUGGGACACCUACACCCCCCCUCUACCCUAAUUUCCCCCUAUAAAUACACACCUCCCCAUCAUGUUUCAACCAACCUAGGAUUUCAUAUUUUUAGUAGCCUCU
rnacentral:lncRNA from 1 species